UCUAGGACCUGGCAGCCAAUCCAGCUACAGAAGAAACUGGAGGGAACAUUCUGAACACAUACAAUUCAUACUUGAAUAAAUAAUUCAGCUAGCUUAAUUUACUAUUUACUCUAUGCGUUCUCUCUCUUCAGGCACCUUCUACCCGGCAACGUCACAGAUCAUCACCGAAACCCGGACCAUCCCCACCACGACAGCUUUUGCUUCAGCUGCUGAAUCUCCUCCUGAGAAGAAACAAAUAACAACAACAGAAAGAAACAGUCAGAAAAUCAAACAUUCAAACAGCCCAACAGCAAAAUACAUUCUGUCCCGGCUCUUCAUGGCCCCCUGAUUGCUGUCUGGACCGACUCUGCAGGCCGUUCGACUAAAAGACUUAGCGCUGGUGUUUUGUUCAUAAAAGAAGGCUGCUCUGAGACGGUCAGCACCCAGAUGACUGCACAAAUACACAACGCUCGGCGGGUCGCAGCCCAGCGGACGUGCCACGCAUGCACAUGCUCGAACCCUUUGACUUGCUAAUGCAGAGCCUCAAAGGAAGAGUCACAUUCGGUCCAAGUAGCAUCUCUUUACCAGUGCACAUCCUAAAAGCGCCUUCAGAGGAAACGCAUUCACAUACAUUCAACUACAAACUGUCACACUGGUCUAAUGCCCAUUUUGCACCAACUUGGUUGCGUUUUUCCACCAAAGAAACUUGUGUUCGCAGCUCGCACCACAGAAUACUAGGUGGGUAGGGGUUUUUUCAGCGCAAACCAUGACGUCAUCUGUGGCAAUGCCCACCGUUGAUGAUGCAUGCUUGGCUCCCAAAAACUGGUGGAAAGGCAGUCGGUUCUCUAAAAAACACCAAGGUUUGAACCAGAGUUCUUUUGAUGGAAAAACGCUGAAAGAGGCAAGUGCUUUGAAUGACACCCAAAGCAGCUACCUAGGUAGGCAGCAUUUUUAGCAAGCAUUUGCAGGAGAUGAAGCCUUAACUGUUUGAAACACAGCCAUUAUUUAAGCUACUUUACUUGGCCAAAAUAAAGCAAUAAGCCACGAGAGGCCGUACGUUACUGUGAUUUUAGCACGGGGAUGACGUUUUUGGCGCGAUGCGAAGCGGAGUGCCUAAAACUUCUUUCCCCGUGCUAAAAUCGUAACAGUAACGUACGGUCUCGAGUGGCUUAUUGCUUUUAUAAAACGGCGG